rnacentral:misc_RNA from 1 species
UACAGCUUUCCCCAAAAGGCAAGCUUUUGUCCCCACAGCACGCUUGACCAUCCAAUAUCCCUCAAUGAUACUUGGAAUUAGUUUAAAUCUUGAAUCCCGAAACAUGUCAAUGUCUGUCCCAUCAACAAAUUUACCCAACAAAGAGCUUUUAUUUACUGGCCUGUCUGAAGCAUAGUAGAGUACCAAACUGUAGUUUGGUUUUGCUGGAACCUGAAGAUUAAUGACAAGGACAAAUGGGAGCUGCUUCCCGGCCUCUGUCUGUACCAGACACUUGGGAUGCAAUGCAACUCUAUCCACAGCACUAUCAACUUUGAACCAAUCAACAGCUAAGAGUUUGAGAAGGGGAUCCCCACCCAUUACCUU